rnacentral:rRNA from 1 species
UACAGAGGUGGCAAGCGUUGUUCGGAAUUACUGGGCGUAAAGGGCGCGUAGGCGGUUCGAUAAGUCCCGUGUGAAAGCCCCCGGCUCAACUGGGGAACUGCACGGGAAACUGACGGACUUGAGUUCGGGAGAGGGAAGCGGAAUUCCGGGUGUAGCGGUGAAAUGCGUAGAUAUCAGGAGGAACACCGGUGGCGAAGGCGGAUCUCUGGGCCUUACCUGACGCUCAGGUGCGAAAGCUAGGGGAGCGAACAGG